GAGUUUGAUCAUGGCUCAGAUUGAACGCUGGCGGCAUGCCUUACACAUGCAAGUCGAACGGCAGCAUGAUCUAGCUUGCUAGAUUGAUGGCGAGUGGCGAACGGGUGAGUAAUACAUCGGAACGUGCCCUGUAGUGGGGGAUAACUAGUCGAAAGAUUAGCUAAUACCGCAUACGACCUGAGGGUGAAAGUGGGGGACCGCAAGGCCUCAUGCUAUAGGAGCGGCCGAUGUCUGAUUAGCUAGUUGGUGGGGUAAAGGCCCACCAAGGCGACGAUCAGUAGCUGGUCUGAGAGGACGAUCAGCCACACUGGGACUGAGACACGGCCCAGGACUCCUACGGGAGGCAGCAGUGGGGAAUUUUGGACAAUGGGCGAAAGCCUGAUCCAGCAAUG
rnacentral:rRNA from 1 species